rnacentral:rRNA from 1 species
GACGUAGGGGGCGAGCGUUGUCCGGAUUUAUUGGGCGUAAAGCGUGCGUAGGCGGCUGCGCAAGUCGGUUGUGAAACCCCGGGGCUCAACCCCGGGCCUGCAGUGGGUACGGGCAGACUAGAGUGUGGUAGGGGAGACUGGAAUUCCUGGUGUCGGGGUGAAAUGCGCAGAUAUCAGGAGGAACACCGGUGGCGAAGGCGGGUCUCUGGGCCAUAACUGACGCUGAGGAGCGAAAGCGUGGGGAGCGAACAGG